UACGUAGGGUGCGAGCGUUGUCCGGAAUUAUUGGGCGUAAAGGGCUCGUAGGCGGUCUGUCACGUCGGGAGUGAAAACUCGGGGCUCAACCCCGAGCCUGCUUCCGAUACGGGCAGACUAGAGGUAUGCAGGGGGAGAAUGGAAUUCCUGGUGUAGCGGUGAAAUGCGCAGAUAUCAGGAGGAACACCGGUGGCGAAGGCGGUUCUCUGGGCAUUACCUGACGCUGAGGAGCGAAAGUGUGGGGAGCGAACAGG
rnacentral:rRNA from 1 species